ensembl:lncRNA
GCCCUGUGCCCUGGAGAGAUGCGCUCGGGUUCGUGCAGCCCCCACAGCCGCCAAUCCCGCCCAUCGUGACUCCAGGGCGCCGGUCUGCAGGCAGCCUGUGAUUCACCGCUUUCUCCAGGAGGUCACACCUCCGCCCUUCCCCUCCCGCUCAGCUCACGGAGCCUGCAUCCACCCAGCUGGCUCCCAGGCCCGUGAACUCUCCCAGGCGUGAGGUCUUUGCUUUUGUUACUUUUUUUUCCCCUGCAGCCUUCAAUUUUGCCUUUGUCUGAACAGAACAGCGGAGAAGGUGCUGGGCUUCCCCCUGCCUCGUCCCUCUGCCUGGUGCUGCCUGUGGUCACCCAGAGCCCUACACGCUGUUGUCUUCUCUGCUGGAGGUGGCAUAGGCAGGCCCAGGUCUGGGUCUGGGACUCAGGCUGCCAAACGCCAGCGUGAAGGGAGUGUCCGGUGCAGUCACCGGGGUGUGGCCUCUGUCUGGUGGCUGGCUCAUGUUCUGGGGGCCGUGGAGAGAGGGUGAGGAAUGCCAGGCUUGCCCACCACCCGCUUGCCGGUGUCUGGAAAUCAAAGGCUCUGGCCGCCUUGGGGGAGACACGGGAGGCAGAAGACCCUUCCAGUGGCUUCCUGUUGCCUGUUCUGUUUUUAACGAUAGAGUCUGGUCACUGGAAUGGACUGCUUGCAAUCAAAGUCCCAUUUUCUUCCGGCCUGUACUGACUGAGUGACCCUGGCCAAGAGCCUUAACCUCUCCAGGCCUCCGUUUUCUCAUCUGCAAAGUGAGGACAACGAUGCUGCCUCCCUCACAGGGUUGUCGUGAGCACGAAGCGAGUGACUGCUUUUAGGCCUGGCACGCAGCGCACACUCAGUAGAUGCCAGCUGUUGUUAAUCGUGGUGUCUGGCCCUGCGUGAGCUGGCCCCGUCCACCUCGCUGACUUCAUUUCCUACCACUCCCCCACUGCGAGGCAGCCACGCUGGCCUCUCCUUCCCUUCCAGAACAUUCCAGGCUCGUGUCUGCUCCCGGGUGUUUGUCCUCACUUAGUCCUCCUGGGAAGUGCCCCCCUUCUCAUCAUCUCAGGUCGGAGGUCACCUCUUCCAGGAGGCCCCUGCCACCUUCUCGUGACCUUGUUUUAUUUUCUUCAUAACCUUUCCCCCCACUUGAAAUUAUUUAAUGUAUUUAUCUCUUUGCUUGUGUGUUUUCUGAUCCACCCCAGCAAAGUAAACUUCCAUUUUUAGGAACCCUGUCUGUACCCCUGAGUGCCAAAAAUAGUGGUGGUCAACCAAUGACUGUUGAAGGAAUGAGUGAAUGGGCAGCUGCAUAGAAUAUCGGCUUAAAUAAUAUAAUAAAGCUAAUGCCGCUUGGGCUUUUGUUAUGUUAUGUAUGCAUUUCUUCUUUCAAUUCUAUGGCAGCCCUCCACGGUAGGUACCCUUGUUGACUUUAUACCACAGAUGAGUUAACAGUCUCAGAGAGGUUAAGUAACUUUCCUAAGGUCACACAGCUUGUAAGCAAGAGAGGCUCAAAAUGACUCAAGUCUGGGUCUGUCCCAGUGUUUCCUUGGCCUUCUUAUGAAUGAAGUCCUGGAACUUUGAGGGAAGCAGAGAAGAGAGGGUGUGCAAAUCCCCAUGAGAACAUCAGUGCUAAUGUGUCUGACUGAAAGCACGCUUUUAUUCUUUACUAAUCACAUUCACAUCCCAAAUCAUGUGUGAGCCCUCAGCCUCCCCACUGGUGCGCAGGUGCUGUGUAGGUAGGAUGGACAUUUCUCUCCCUAUUUCACAGCCCGGAAAACUGAGGCUCAGAGCAAAAGUGGGUCUCUCGGGGCCACCAGAGCCCUGCUUAGCAUUCUAUGGGAUGUGUGGUUGCCUCAUUUGAGAAAGGUCUUGGCUGGGACCCUCCUCCCCUGGGAAACCUCCCUGGAUCAGCCUGGGUCAACUGCUCCUCUGUGUCACAUUGCCUCAAGGUCCUCCAUCCUAGCACCUGCCCCAGGCUGUCAUCGUUGCUCAUUGCAUUGUCCCUCUCUUGCUAGACGUGUGUCAUCCAAGUCAGUGGCCGCUAGUCCAGUGGUCCUCAACCGGGGGCAAUUUUGCUCCCCCCCUCCAGGGGACAUUCGCAAUGUCUGGUGACAUUUGUGGUUGUCAGAACUGGAAGGUGAGGGUGUUACUGGUAUCUAAGGAGGCUGCUUAACACCCUCCAGGGCACAGGACAGCCCCCAUAGCAGAGAAGGAUUCGGUCCAAAACAUCAUGGAGCCGAGGUUGAGCUCUAGACGCCAGUGGCUGUUGAGCACUUGAGAUGCGGCUGGACCAAGUGGUGACACCAGAUUCCAAGGACUUAGUGUGAAAAAAAGAAGGUAAAAUAUCCCACAAAUAACUUUUAAAUAUUGAGUAGAUGAGGAAUAAUAUUUUGGAUAUAUUGAGUUCAACAAAAUAGAUGAUGAAAAUUAAUUUUACCUAUUUCUUUUCAUGAUUUUAAUUGUGGCUGCCAGAAAAUUUCAAAUCACAUGCGUGAUCACAUUAUACUUUGUUUGGACAGUGCUGUACCAGACAGGACGUGCUGUGCAAGCAAGGCUCUGUCCGCAUCUGUCUGGGUUUGCUCAUCCUGGUAAAUGCAGCGCUGAGCAGAGGCUUGGUACGUGCUGGGUGCUCAGUAGAUAAUCAUGGAAGAAGGAGGAGAGAAG